UACGAAGGGGGCUAGCGUUGCUCGGAAUGACUGGGCGUAAAGGGCGCGUAGGCGGAUUGCUUUGUCGGGCGUGAAAUUCCAGGGCUUAACCUUGGGGCUGCGUUCGAGACGGGUGAUCUUGAGUUCGGAAGAGGGUCGUGGAAUUCCCAGUGUGAGAGGUGAAAUGCGCAGAUAUCGGGAGGAACACCGGUGGCGAAGGCGGUUCUCUGGGCCUGUACUGACGCUGAGGAGCGAAAGCGUGGGGAGCAAACAGG
rnacentral:rRNA from 1 species